GGCAGCAGUAAGAUCAACACAGCUGAGAAAAAUAGGAAUUACCCACAUUGGAAAACAAAGAAGAAAAAGUUUUUUUUAAAAAAAAGCAUCCAAGAACUGUGGGAAAACAUUAAAUGAUAUAAUAUGCAUGUAAUAGGACUCCCAAAAGAAGAAGAAAGAACAAAUCGGAAAAAAUGUUUGAAGAGAAAAUUACUAACAAUUCUCCCAAAAUAAUGAAAGACAACAAAAUGCAGACCUGAGCUCAGAGCACACACAAAACUUGAUAAAUAUGAGCCCCUGCCUCACACAUGCACUGUAUUCAAACUGUGGAAAUCAGAGAGAAAACCGUGAAGAUGGCCGGAGAAAAAAGAUACGUUAAAUACAGUAGCAAAGAACCUGCAACCAUGGUCGUGCCACUAGCCAGCUCGGAAGCCCAGACCGUGCAGUCUCUCGGCUUCGCCAUCUACCGCGCGCUGGACUGGGGGCUGGACGAGAGCGAGGAGCGCGAACUCAGCCCGCAGCUGGAGCGGCUCAUCGACCUCAUGGCCAACAACGACAGCGAGGACAGCGGCUGCGGUGCCGCCGAUGAGGGCUACGGAGGUCCCGAGGAGGAGGAGGAGGCCGAGGGCGUCCCCCGCAGCGUGCGCACCUUCGCCCAGGCCAUGCGGCUGUGCGCAGCGCGGCUGACCGACCCCC
rnacentral:sRNA from 1 species